UAAAGAUUUCAUUCUUGCACCGCAUUUGGCUGAGUAAGUUUCUUUUAGUUAACUUUCUUUUAUUUUAUUACUAUGAUUCACAUAACUAUUCUAUAACGCUAAUUUUGUAGCGACCAUUGGUCUUUGUUCAUCAUCGCCCAACACACAAGACAUGUGUAUAUUUUGGAUUCAACAAAGAUAAAAGGCGAAAAGAAUGCUUCUAACUAUCGUCUUUCAAGCCUAAUUGCUACCGCCUUAGGAUCCGAGUUCAACUACACAAUGGUUGAUUGUAAGCAACAAAAGGGUGGAUGGGAAUGCGGCUACAUGGUUCUCCAACAUAUGUUUGACUUUGUCAAUUUGUAUCAAAACCAGUUUCCCGAUGAAAUGUGGCACGACACGAGAGAGGCAACGGAUAAUGAGAUAGAUGUUUUGUUGAUGACGUUGAUGCCGAAGUUUUUUAGGGAGUUAGGUAUUUCGUUAGAUUAGCGUAUGUAGUUUACUUAUGCAAUUUAACGUAGCUUGUUAUGUAUUCACAAAUGAUUGCAAUUUGACGGUUUAUUUCCGAAUUGGAUGUCUACGGGUUUAUUUUUGAUUUGAAUAUG